GGACGAACGCUGGCGGCGUGCUUAACACAUGCAAGUCGAACGGUGACCUUGGAGCUUGCUCCAAGUGAUCAGUGGCGAACGGGUGAGUAACACGUGAGUAACCUGCCCCAGACUCUGGAAUAACCCCGGGAAACCGGAGCUAAUACCGGAUACGAGACGGAGCCGCAUGGCUACCGUCUGGAAAGUUUUUCGGUCUGGGAUGGACUCGCGGCCUAUCAGCUUGUUGGUGAGGUAACGGCUCACCAAGGCGACGACGGGUAGCCGGCCUGAGAGGGCGACCGGCCACACUGGGACUGAGACACGGCCCAGACUCCUACGGGAGGCAGCAGUGGGGAAUAUUGCACAAUGGGCGAAAGCCUGAUGCAGCGACGCCGCGUGAGGGAUGAAGGCCUUCGGGUUGUAAACCUCUUCCAGCAGGGAAGAAGCGAAAGUGACGGUACCUGCAGAAGAAGCACCGGCUAACUACGUGCCAGCAGCCGCGGUAAUACGUAGGGUGCGAGCGUUGUCCGGAAUUAUUGGGCGUAAAGAGCUUGUAGGCGGUUUGUCACGUCUGCUGUGAAAAUCCGAGGCUCAACCUCGGACUUGCAGUGGGUACGGGCAGACUAGAGUGUGGUAGGGGAGACUGGAAUUCCUGGUGUAGCGGUGGAAUGCGCAGAUAUCAGGAGGAACACCGAUGGCGAAGGCAGGUCUCUGGGCCACUACUGACGCUGAGAAGCGAAAGCAUGGGGAGCGAACAGGAUUAGAUACCCUGGUAGUCCAUGCCGUAAACGUUGGGCGCUAGGUGUGGGACUCAUUCCACGAGUUCCGUGCCGCAGCUAACGCAUUAAGCGCCCCGCCUGGGGAGUACGGCCGCAAGGCUAAAACUCAAAGGAAUUGACGGGGGCCCGCACAAGCGGCGGAGCAUGUGGAUUAAUUCGAUGCAACGCGAAGAACCUUACCAAGGCUUGACAUAUACCGGAAACAUCCAGAGAUGGGUGCCCCGCAAGGUCGGUAUACAGGUGGUGCAUGGUUGUCGUCAGCUCGUGUCGUGAGAUGUUGGUUAAGUCCCGCAACGAGCGCAACCCUCGUUCUAUGUUGCCAGCGCGUCAUGGCGGGGACUCAUAGGAGACUGCCGGGGUCAACUCGGAGGAAGGUGGGGAUGACGUCAAAUCAUCAUGCCCCUUAUGUCUUGGGCUUCACACAUGCUACAAUGGCCGGUACAAAGGGCUGCGAAAUCGCAAGAUGGAGCGAAUCCCAAAAAACCGGUCUCAGUUCGGAUUGGGGUCUGCAACUCGACCCCAUGAAGUCGGAGUCGCUAGUAAUCGCAGAUCAGCAACGCUGCGGUGAAUACGUUCCCGGGCCUUGUACUC
rnacentral:rRNA from 1 species